AUGGGAUGGGAUAGGAUAGUUCAGGAAUCUCAAAUCUGCAUCCAUGGAGAUACUGGAACUUAUCAGGCUGGGUGAACCUGUCCUAAAGUCAAAGUUGGAUCUAACUUUGAGGGGGUGGACUGGGUGAUGUCUAGAAGUGCAAUCCAAAUUGAACUGUUAAAUGGUUUUAUUAACUUCUUGUACGAAGCAGGAAGGCAGAGGAUGCCUCAGGCAUACACAGGGCUUGACACUUCUGUAAUGGUUUUCAGUUGCCUACUUUCUGUUUAGUGUUGGGCACAAUUUAGUGGAGCAAAGUUACAAAAGGAGCACAAAGAGCAGGAUUCAAGGCAGUCUCACAUCCCUCCAAUUUCACACGUGCUGCACUGCCUGCCCUGGUACUUCACUGGGAAUCAGGGAGAAGGGACAAUCAAUUUUCUCCCACAUAGCUGAAAUUGAAGCUGUUGUCCCUUGCAUGAACCUGGGCAGAGCUGGGAAAGGACUGAUGUCAUCACCCCACAGAGGAAGGAGAACCUUUUCCUUAAUGGGGAGCCCCUGUGUGGUGCGGGCACUGCAGGCCAGCUCCUGCUAACUCCCAGGCUAAUAGCUUUCAGAAUGAGAGCAAUCGCCUCGCCCCCAUUUGUGGUACCUGGCAGGUGUCCCAGUCAGCAUCAGCAGGCUGGGUUGAGCUGGGAAGGUUCUGAAUCAUUUUGACUCUGCUGGAUUAUGAUAGAUCUGGCAAUCCAGUCGUUUGUGUAACCAAAAAUAAUAAUAAAAAAAAUUAGGCUUUAAUAUUUUAAACUGCUUUCUGUUUGUGUAAGGCCCUGGGACAGCAAGAGGGCGGCCUAUGGGAGAUGAAGUGGAGUAAUUUAUCUUUUCUUCCCACAUCUUGCCUCUGUGGGUGGGUGUUGGCACACUAUAUUCAGAGUCCCAUAAACCAAUGGAUGAGGACUUCAAUUGGUACAGCUCAGGCCUGAUUUACCUUGCUCUGCUUGUGCCUAAGAGAUGUUCUUAAGUCAAAAUAUACAGUGCCAGCUCAGAAGCUGGGAUUAUUCAGGCUUCAGGAGGUCUGCUCCUGUCUGACUUGAGCAAAAUAAAUGCAAGGCUUUGCAUAAUUCUCAUUAAUCAUUUAAAGCACAGUUUGCAUUGAAGCAUUGAAGUCUCCCACUUUUUUUUUUUUUUUCAGUUGGCAAGCCAUGAAACACCAGCAUGUUAGAAAAGAGAGAGCCUGAAGGAAAAACAAAGAACAGGAGGGUCUAAGAGAGAGAAGGGCGCUUGCUGCCUUUCUCUUAUCAGCUGAGGAUACAGAGGGGUAUAUUAGUGUGGGUGAAACAGACUACUCAUCCCAAAUUCAAGUCCAUUAAUGCCUGAUGUGACUCCAAGGCAGAGUUAACUGAGCAGAUCCAAGUUGUGUCACCUUCCCAAAGGUCCCCCCAAACUCAUUCCUGACCCUGCUUUGGUGUUCCCUUUUCUUUCUGACAGCUCCAUAAAAAAGCCUGAAGCAGUGCCUUGCUUCCCCUGACUCAUCGUUUGUCAGCUCAAAGGAUCAGCAGGAUUUCUUUUCGUACCUACUACUGUGAAACCAGUGCCAGCUAGAUGCUUUAUCUGAGAACACAGGGGUCUUCAGUAAGAUGCAUAAUCCUACCCUCAAGAAACCUACAUGCAGCCCCACAGAUCUGCCACAUCACCUGGCCUCUUUUCCUUUUAACUGCACUUGGGUGGCUGUGUGCAAUGCUCCUUUCUGGGAUGACCUGAUCAGCCUAAAGACAAAUUCAGCAAGGAGCACGAACAAGACAACUGCUGGGGCCAUUUGCAGUAACAUCCUCCUAAGUAGCAACACGUUACCGUGUCUCCUGCUUCACCACUGGCUGCCAGAGCAUCAUCCGGGGACCUGUUCUCUGCCCUCCCUGGAAUUCAUUUAGCUAUGUUUUAGAAUUGGAAAGAAGAUGCACUUUGUCAGUUCUUCCUCAUUAAAAUAAUAACAAUAAUGGUCAUCAUCAUCAAAAGCCUUUCACAGUAAAGAUCAUGUUGCUGUCUC